rnacentral:RNase_P_RNA from 2 species
UGAGUGGGCCAGACGGUCGCAUGCCUGCAUGAGGAAAGUCCGGGCUCCCAAGGGCAAGAUGCCAGCUAACGGCUGGGCGGAGCGAUCCGACGGAAAGUGCCACAGAAAAGAAGACUCCCCAGUUCAUCUGGAGAAAAGCUGAAACGGUGCGGUAAGAGCGCACCAGCGCGCCGGCAACGGCGCGGCUUGGCAAACCCCAUCUGGAGCAAGCGCAAAUAGGAACGCGAUACGGCCGCCCUUCCGUGCGUUCGGGUUGCGUGCUAGAGCCAUGCGGCGACGCAUGGCGUAGAUAAAUGGCCGUUCAACGACAGAACCCGGCUUAUCGGCUCACUCGGCUU